AUGGCGCCCACAGUGGCCGGAUCACUACUGCCCCUGUCGGUCAUCGUCCUUGCGACGGUCGCAUCGACCGUUCUGCUGGCGCCGGUGGCGGCGAAGGACAUUGACGCGCUCUUGGCCCUGAAGAGCGGCUUACAUGACCCCAACGGCGCAUUGAAGAGCUGGGACCCGCAGCUGGUGAACCCUUGCACUUGGUUCUACAUCACGUGCGGCGACAGCAACCGCGUCACCCGCAUAGGCCUUGCCCGCCUGAACCUGUCCGGACCGCUGGCGCCGGAGCUUGGCCAACUGGACCGCCUAGAAUAUUUGGCAAUUUAUGACAACCACUUCACCGGCCCGAUCCCGAAGGAACUGGUUGGGCUGUCCAACCUGAUAAAUGCGGAUUUCUCAAACAACGACUUUUGCGGCCCGAUUCCAACCGCUGGACCGUUUAAGCACAUACCUCGUCGUAGCUUUGCCAACAACCCGCGCCUGGGCAAGAAGUGCUAG
rnacentral:rRNA from 1 species